rnacentral:rRNA from 1 species
GCAUAUCAAUAAGCGGAGGAAAAGAAACCAACAGGGAUUGCCCUAGUAACGGCGAGUGAAGCGGCAACAGCUCAAAUUUGAAAUCUGGCGUCUUUGGCGUCCGAGUUGUAAUUUGCAGAGGGCGCUUUGGCAUUGGCAGCGGUCCAAGUUCCUUGGAACAGGACGUCACAGAGGGUGAGAAUCCCGUACGUGGUCGCUAGCCUUUACCGUGUAAAGCCCCUUCGACGAGUCGAGUUGUUUGGGAAUGCAGCUCUAAAUGGGAGGUAAAUUUCUUCUAAAGCUAAAUACUGGCCAGAGACCGAUAGCGCACAAGUAGAGUGAUCGAAAGAUGAAAAGCACUUUGGAAAGAGAGUUAAAAAGCACGUGAAAUUGUUGAAAGGGAAGCGCUUGCAGCCAGACUUGCCUGUAGUUGCUCAUCCGGGUUUUUACCCGGUGCACUCUUCUAUAGGCAGGCCAGCAUCAGUUUGGGCGGUUGGAUAAAGGUCUCUGUCACGUACCUCCUCUCGGGGAGAACUUAUAGGGGAGACGUAAUGCAACCAGCCUGGACUGAGGUCCGC